rnacentral:rRNA from 1 species
CGUGCAGGCGGUUUUCUAAGUCGGACGUGAAAGCUCCUGGCCCAACUGGGAGAGGCCGUUCGAAACUAGGAGACUUGAGGAUGGUAGAGGCGAGUGGAAUUCCCGGUGUAGUGGUGAAAUGCGUAGAUACCGGGAGGAACACCAGUGGCGAAGGCGGCUCGCUGGGCCAUUCCUGACGCUGAGACGCGAAAGCUAGGGGAGAGAACG